GAUUCUGAGGCAACAGUGGAUAUUGGUAUAGCUAAGACAUCCCUAGCUACUUUUGAAAGGAUAGGAAAUCUUUCAGCAUUCAGCUUCCACCAUCUAAGUAUAUCAAAGGCCCCAUCAUC